GAUGAACGCUGGGGGCGUGCCUAAUACAUGCCAGUCGAGCGAACAGACGAGGAGCUUGCUCCUCUGACGUUAGCGGCGGACGGGUGAGUAACACGUGGAUGACCUACCUAUAAGACUGGGAUAACUUCGGGAAACCGGAGCUAAUACCGGAUAAUAUAUUGAACCGCAUGGUUCAAUAGUGAAAGACGGUUUUGCUGUCACUUAUAGAUGGAUCCGCGCCGCAUUAGCUAGUUGGUAAGGUAACGGCUUACCAAGGCAACGAUGCGUAGCCGACCUGAGAGGGUGAUCGGCCACACUGGAACUGAGACACGGUCCAGACUCCUACGGGAGGCAGCAGUAGGGAAUCUUCCGCAAUGGGCGAAAGCCUGACGGAGCAACGCCGCGUGAGUGAUGAAGGUCUUCGGAUCGUAAAACUCUGUUAUUAGGGAAGAACAAAUGUGUAAGUAACUAUGCACGUCUUGACGGUACCUAAUCAGAAAGCCACGGCUAACUACGUG
rnacentral:rRNA from 1 species